UGUUAAAAAUUUCAUUCAAUUUUAUUAUUAAAACUGACAUAAUUGACCAAACAAAUACAUAUAAUAUGUUAUGUGUACUUUAUGCUGAUGAACACAAACUGGCUUUUAAUAGUAAAAAUAGAUGAAAAACUUAACA
rnacentral:pre_miRNA from 1 species